UUGGACAAUGGGCGCAAGCCUGAUCCAGCAAUGCCGCGUGAGUGAAGAAGGCCUUCGGGUUGUAAAGCUCUUUCAGUUGAGAAGAAAAGAUUGUAACUAAUAAUUGCGAUCCAUGACGGUACCGGAAUAAGAAGCACCGGCUAACUACGUGCCAGCAGCCGCGGUAAUAAGGGC
rnacentral:rRNA from 1 species